rnacentral:rRNA from 1 species
UUCGUAGGGGGCAAGCGUUGUCCGGAAUCAUUGGGCGUAAAGAGCGUGUAGGCGGCCUGGUAAGUCCGCUGUGAAAGUCCAGGGCUCAACCCUGGAAUGCCGGUGGAAACUGUCAGGCUCGAGUCCGGAAGAGGCGAGUGGAAUUCCUGGUGUAGCGGUGAAAUGCGCAGAUAUCAGGAGGAACACCAAUGGCGAAGGCAGCUCGCUGGGACGGUACUGACGCUGAGACGCGAAAGCGUGGGGAGCAAACAGG